rnacentral:rRNA from 1 species
GGCUGCAACUCGCCCUCAUGAAGCUGGAAUCGCUAGUAACCGCGUAUCAGCCAUGGCGCGGUGAAUAUGUUCCUGGGUCUUGUACUCACCGCCCGUCAAGUCAUGAAAGGUGGGGGUACCUGAAGCACCCCGCUUUGCGGGGUACCACGGUAAAACCACUGAUUGGGGCUAAGUCGUAACAAGGUAUCCGUAGGAGAACCUGCGGAUGGAUCACCUCCUUUCUAAGGAG